CUACUACUCCCUCCAUCCGAAAAUACUUGUCAUUGAAAUGGAUGUACCUAGAUGUAUUUUAGUUCUAGACACAUCCAUUUUGAUGACAAGUAAUUCCGGAUGGGGGGGAGUAUUAU
rfam:Triticum aestivum genome assembly, contig: Triticum_aestivum_CS42_TGACv1_scaffold_032047_1BL